UACGAAGGGGGCUAGCGUUGCUCGGAAUCACUGGGCGUAAAGCGCACGUAGGCGGAUUGUUAAGUCAGGGGUGAAAUCCUGGAGCUCAACUCCAGAACUGCCUUUGAUACUGGCGAUCUUGAGUCCGGGAGAGGUGAGUGGAACUGCGAGUGUAGAGGUGAAAUUCGUAGAUAUUCGCAAGAACACCAGUGGCGAAGGCGGCUCACUGGCCCGGUACUGACGCUGAGGUGCGAGAGCGUGGGGAGCAAACAGG
rnacentral:rRNA from 1 species